rnacentral:rRNA from 1 species
GACGAACGCUGGCGGCGUGCUUAACACAUGCAAGUCGAACGGUGAUGCUCCAGCCUGCUGGAGUGGAUCAGUGGCGAACGGGUGAGUAACACGUGAGCAACCUGCCCCAGACCUUGGUAUAAGCGCUGGAAACGGCGUCUAACACUGGAUACGUAACUGGCCCGCAUGGGCAUGGUUGGGAAAGUUUUUCGGUUUGGGAUGGGCUGGCGGCCUAGCAGCCUGUUGGUGGGGUGAUGGCUUACCAAGGUGGCGAGGGGUAGCCGGCCUGAGAGGGCGGACGGUCACACGGGGACUGAGACACGGCCCAGACUCAUACGGGAGGCAGCAGUGGGGAAUAGGGCACAAUGGGGGCAAGCGUGAUGCAGCGACGCCGCGUGAGGGAUGGAGGCCUGCGGGUGGUAAACCUCUUUCGCCAGUGAAGCAGGCCUGGCCCUUUUGUGGGUGGGUUGACGGUAGCUGGAGAAGAAGCGCCGGCUAACUACGUG